rnacentral:rRNA from 1 species
GCAGUCGAGGGGUAUAUGUUCUUCGGAGAUAGAGACCGGCGCACGGGUGCGUAACGCGUAUGCAAUCUACCUUUUACAGAGGGAUAGCCCAGAGAAAUUUGGAUUAAUACCUCAUAGUAUUGCAGAAUGGCAUCAUUCAGCAAUUAAAGUCACAACGGUAAAAGAUGAGCAUGCGUCCCAUUAGCUAGUUGGUAAGGUAACGGCUUACCAAGGCUACGAUGGGUAGGGGUCCUGAGAGGGAGAUCCCCCACACUGGUACUGAGACACGGACCAGACUCCUACGGGAGGCAGCAGUGAGGAAUAUUGGACAAUGGGCGCAAGCCUGAUCCAGCCAUGCCGCGUGCAGGAUGACGGUCCUAUGGAUUGUAAACUGCUUUUAUACGAGAAGAAACACUCCUUCGUGAAGGAGCUUGACGGUAUCGUAAGAAUAAGGAUCGGCUAACUCCGUGCCAGCAGCCGCGGUAAUACGGAGGAUCCAAGCGUUAUCCGGAAUCAUUGGGUUUAAAGGGUCCGUAGGCGGUUUAAUAAGUCAGUGGUGAAAGCCCAUCGCUCAACGGUGGAACGGCCAUUGAUACUGUUAGACUUGAAUUAUUAGGAAGUAACUAGAAUAUGUAGUGUAGCGGUGAAAUGCUUAGAGAUUACAUGGAAUACCAAUUGCGAAGGCAGGUUACUACUAAUGGAUUGACGCUGAUGGACGAAAGCGUGGGUAGCGAACAGGAUUAGAUACCCUGGUAGUCCACGCCGUAAACGAUGGAUACUAGCUGUUGGGUGCAAACUCAGUGGCUAAGCGAAAGUGAUAAGUAUCCCACCUGGGGAGUACGUUCGCAA